rnacentral:rRNA from 1 species
GGGAAACCGGAGCUAAUACCGGAUAACAUGUUGAACCGCAUGGUUCAACAGUGAAAGACGGUCUUGCUGUCACUUAUAGAUGGAUCCGCGCCGCAUUAGCUAGUUGGUAAGGUAACGGCUUACCAAGGCAACGAUGCGUAGCCGACCUGAGAGGGUGAUCGGCCACACUGAACUGAGACGCGGUCCAG